UGUCCGUCUUCUUAGCCGGUCUAUAUAGUACAGUUGUCAACUCGUACGACUUAACAACAUGCCCGUCAUGGGUUCAAUCCCCAAAUAGACCGUGCCGCCAUACGUAGGACUGACUAUCCUGCUAUGGGGGGGAACCAAUUAGUCACUGAAAGCCAAGCCCACAAGUGGGUACAGGCAGGCCUUGACCGACAACGGUUGUUGAGCCAUAUAAAAAAAAUGUCUGUCUUCUCUCACUUUCAACACUCAAUUGCAAUUAAUAUUGAAAUUUGAGUUUGUAAGUUUUCUACGCUCAAUUUUUAAUCAUAAUUUCUACGCUAAAUCCUAUGCUGAUCAUAUAACGAAGCGGAACAGGAACUAUAUCGGUCCCAGGACAGGAAGACGUUCAUGUUUUAAUCCGAAUCUAAUUUAGGUUCAGGUACAGUUUCAAGAUCAGAAACUGUUUCAGGACCGGUGUGGGUUCAGAUUCAGUUCCAGCACUAGACUAGACGGACACUACAUGGAGCUCCUUGCCAUGCUCGACAACUCCCGACAUACACCUGUUUCCAUCUACGUUCGAAUCUCGUGCCAUUUGCAUCGAAUCGCAAACCGCCUGCUUUGAAUCGCACGCCACUACGAUUGAAUGCGUGCAACCAUGGUUGAAUCGCGUGCCAGUACGGUUGAAUCGCGUUCCACUAUGGUCGAAUCAUAUGCCACUACGAUCGAAUCGUGUGCCGCUACCAUUGGAUUCCUGAAAGCAAGAGCAUAGUAAACUGUUUGUUUACGUUUGAAAGCUGUUUCUUUCUUCACCGACGGCAUUUAGCUAGUAAAAUACUAAUAAAAAGGAAUUCUCUGAUUAUAGGUAUAUCACGAAUAUUGGUUCAAACCAUGGUCCCUUGUUGAUGGUAAAAUCCUUGUUUUCAACUAAUAUUCGGUGUUCGUUGUUGAUGGUAAAAUCCAUGGUUUCAACCAAUAUUCUUCGGGUUUACCUAUAAUCAGGGAAUACACCUGUUUCCAUCUACGUUCGAAUCUCGUGCCGUUUGCAUCGAAUCGCAAACCGCCUGCUUCGAAUCGCAUGCCACUACACCAGCAGCACCAGUGUCAAAAUUCAGGCUCACCCGAGUGUCAUCUGAGCCCUCACUGUGAGUGUGGAGUGAGUGUGGAAAAACAGUCCAAAUUGACAUUCAUAACGAAGGGCGGGGGAGCGCUUGCUGUCAAAAAUGUGGGUGAAAGAAGCCCUAUUUGACUGUGGAUCGUUUGGCUAAAAAAAAGUAGGUGAUAUUGUCCCCCACACUUGUGUACCAUUUCAUUUCGUGUUGUUGUUGUGUAUUGGUAUUCCACCGUGUGCUCCCGUUGUGUGCCAUUGCGUGUUGUGUGUAUUCGUAUGCCAUCGUGUACUCUCGUACUCUUUUGAUACUUGGCCUGUGUGAGAGAAGAGAGAGAGAGAUAUGGAAAACAAAAACAAAAACGUAAGCAUCGUAGACGAAAAUGGGAAUCCUGGUAAGCGGCCCUUAAGCAUGCUAAGAAAUUUUGAAGAAGAAGAAGAAACAACACUUGAUUCUGGAAACGCUAAAAAGCAGCAAAAAGAGCAACCAUCUGGGACAAUGAAGAAUUAUAUUGUUUUUCCAAAUGGACAAAAACUAGAAAUUCGUGGCACUAUUUGUGGUGCUGUCAAUCUGGAUCAAACUGUAUGUGCGAAACCAUUAUAUGCUAAUCCGAGUGAGUUAUUUCAAGAUCCUUUAUGUUACUUCGUUAUUAACAGUACUUUUUUUCUUACAGGCUCCACACAAACACAGCAAACUAUUUUUUUAAAAACUGCUGGAGCUACUCCAUGUAAGAUUCAUGAACACCCUUCCCUCAACCUUUUGAAAUAAUCGUUAUCUUUUUCGCAGGUACUACCAAACCUGUACAACAGCCAUUAGAUGUUAAAAAGUCUGCUGGAAAACCAGAUCCCGUCACACAUACACAGCAAACUAUUUUUUUAAAGACUGCUGGAGCUACUCCAAGUACUAGCAAACCUGUACAACAGCCAUUAGAUGUUAAAAAGUCUGCUGGAAAGCCACAUCCCGUUACACAAACACAGCAAACUAUUUUUUUAAAGACUGCUGGAGCUACU